rnacentral:rRNA from 1 species
AUUAUCUUCACUGGUGACUGGUUACCUCACUACCACCGUAUGUCCCCGCUUGCGACAUACACUGCGCCAGGUGGAGUGACCCGCCCCCCCUUAGGCUCCACGAGUAGGGCAAACUGAGCUAAGUGAGUGAAUACUAUCAAGUUCACUUAGGCUAUAUUUUUAUUAAACCUAGCGCACUAAAGCGGUAUAUGAGCUCAGCCAUGGAUUUUAUAUAAUAUGUCCUGUUGUCUUCUUAUUACCCGACCCAUACAUAUACUCAGAGGCGGGUAAGGAGGUGAGGUCACUGUGAUUACUUUUUCCACUGGAAGCUUGUGAGGCUUUGCGAGUGCAUCAUACGCCGAGUGAGUGCGCAUAUAGAGGUAAGUCAAGCACCUCUAGGGGUUGUCUCAUGUACUACUGGGCGUUCGGUUGAGAUGGGUAUAACGAGUUCUCUCCCGGAGGGCUCUGGCCGUCUCCUGAUUACGACCCGGGUGGUAAGUCCGUUGGGUGUCAUCGUAGCCUAGUCGAUUGUUAACCUAUGGUAGCUACGAAGUAUUAAAGCCUGAGCGACUGACUGACACGCUUAAUAAGUGAAAUAAGCACAAAGAUGUGAUCGUGAGCCUUUAUCUAGGUUGUAAUAAACUGGUAUAUCUCGAUAAAUAGUUUCUAUGCGGCAGAGUGCUGGGUAUCUGCGAGAAUAGCCUCUUUACGUAGGUUUAAAACACUGAAUGUAGUGCAUGACUUGGAGAGCGCGUGAGAAGCUGUCGCAAAUAGCCACCUGGGACUUUUUUCAGGGUUGUGGUUCAGGCAUCCAGUGACUUGCUGGAUUUGAGUUGAGUCAGUGGCUAGGGGAGCAUUAGCUGGCUUGACCUGUGUAAAAACGGGGCUAUGAGCUAUACGCACGUAGCAAACUUAAGGGUUAAAGCGGUGCUGGAGAGCUGUCGCGCCUAUAAUAAUAUUGUCCGUGAGUAAACCCCAAGUAAUCAGAACCCCUCGUAUGGUGUGCAAUCAUGGACUGUGAGCGUUAUAAGCCGUUGAGUGAUUGACUGACGAGUGCUAGCCGUAUGACCGACUCGCACGUUUAGUUCACUUUUAUAUCAUAAGAGCCACCCGGAAGUCACAUUCUCAUCAGCUAGCGUACAAUUUAGUGAGCACCCGGUUAGUUGCGGUGACUGACUGUGAGCUUUAUAACCUACGGGGGAGUGCUAAUAUAUAUUAUGAGUUAGAAUAUAUAUAUAGAAAAUGCCAACAUUAGUCAGUACUUUAUACUGCUACUGAUUUGUCUCAUUUAUGUGCUCAGAGUAACCAUGAGCAGAAAAUGCUAAUAGGUGUACGAUAUUCUUGUGGUGACGCGGAAUGCCGUGAGUGAGGAGGGGUAUACGUGUUUCGGAACCGCACUCCCAUGUAUGUAGUGCAGCUCGAGUAUGAGUAUUAUAUACCCGUGUGCACCUCACUUAUUAGCCUGAGUACUUAUUCGGCGCGAGAAAAAGUCUGAGGUCACAGUCAUGGUGACUCAUGAGUCUUAUAGUACCCUAACUACACUGUCCGAUUCGAGUCGUACCGCAAUGAAGUGCCAAUGGCAGUAAAUAUAUCCUUCUUAAUGUGAAUAGAGAUGAAUACGUAUGUACCCUGGGUUAGGCGGGGAGUGAGCUCUCCGUCAGCAAUACUUUGUCUCACCCUGCUGCUCGUUCACUAAAUUGUUGAUGAGAACAAGUGGGUGGUGGAAAAGUGGCGUGGUAUUUAAGGGGAUAGUAAGUGAAGACCGUGAGUUUAGCUCACAUAAUAUAGCUCAUCUGUCAUCUUAAAUUAUAGAUGACGCUGACUCACUAUGAAUGGUAUUAUAACGAGAUUUCCCCAACUGUCCGCCCGUAUCUACUAAUCUAGCGAACGCACUGGGAUGAGGGUAUAACAGGAUAGCCUAGUCAGCUACCUAUCCACUUUAUAAUAUAACAUAAAAAAAGCGGUGGAAAAGGAAGAUCCCUGAAGUUGAGCUUGAAGCUCUAGUCCUAUGAAUUUAUUAUGUAAGAGUGAGACACAGUUCAGAGGCUGUAGUGAGCAAUAAAUAGGGAGGUCGAGUAACAUUAUCGUGAGGGCUCUUGAUGUCUAUCCGUGCCGGCUCGAUACAAUUUGAAAUACCACAUAACUUACUGAUCGUUUUCUUUAACUUACUCGGUGAGACGGAUCGGAAGCUUCACCAGCGUGGGGAUUGCCUCCUGAUUUUUCCUCAGCCUAAUAGUGCGCGGAAGGGAGGGCGUGCGCUUGUUUCGGCCUUGCGUUAGCCUGACCGGGCGGUUCGCGCCCGCCGCGAUCCGCCUCGAAGGACAUUAUCAGGUGGGGAGUUUGACUGGGGCGGUACAUCUGUCAAACGAUAACGCAGGUGUCCUAAAGCCAGCUUCAGCGUGGACAGAAACCUCGCGUAGAGCAAAAGGGGCAAUGCUGGCUUGAUCCUGAUUUUCAGUACGAAUACGGACUGCGAAGCAGGGCCUAUCGAUCCUUUUGACUUUAUGAGUUUUAAGCAAGAGGUGUCAGAAAAGUUACCACAGGGAUAACUGGCUUGUGGCGGCCAAGCGUUCAUAGCGACGUCGCUUUUUGAUCCUUCGAUGUCGGCUCUUCCUAUCAUUGUGAAGCAGAAUUCACCAAGCGUUGGAUUGUUCACCCAAAAAGGGAACGUGAGCUGGGUUUAGACCGUCGCGAGACAGGUUAGUUUUACCCUACUGUGCAGUUGUGUCGUUGAUACAGCAGUCCUGCUCAGUACGAGAGGAACGGCAGGUCCGGACAUAUGGUUCCGGCUUUGGUCGAUCGGCCAGUGGAGCGAGGGCUACGUCCGUGGGAUUAUGCCUGAAAGCCUCUAAGGCAGAAUCCCGGCUGGAUGACCAACGAUACCGCGUACGGCCUGCAUCGGGAAUGGUCACCAUUGAAUUUUCGAGAGAUUCGCUCCCCGCUCGUUCGCGGGCGGGGCUAGAAGAUGGACCCGUGCAGAGGGAACUCGGAGUGCCUCCGACAAAACAGGUUCAGGCUCUCCCCUCCCUAGUAGAGAACACCCAGAUGC